UACGUAGGCAGCAAGCGUUGUUCGGAGUUACUGGGCGUAAAGAGUGCGUAGGUGGUGCCCUAAGUCUGUUGUGAAAUCUCCCGGCUUAACUGGGAGGGUGCGGUGGAAACUGGGGUGCUUGAGUGUGGGAGAGGUAAGCGGAAUUCCUGGUGUAGCGGUGAAAUGCGUAGAUAUCAGGAGGAACACCGGUGGUGUAGGCGGGUCUCUGGGCCGAAAUUGACGCUGAGGAGCGAAAGCGUGGGGAGCAAACAGG
rnacentral:rRNA from 1 species